CUACCAUGCAGUCGACGAGAAGGGUAGCAAUACCUGAGUAAAGUGGCGCACGGGUGAGUAACACGUGACUAACCUACCUUUUAGUGGGGGAUAACCUAGGGAAACCUGGGCUAAUACCGCAUAAUACCUACGGGUCAAAGCAGCAAUGCGCUGAAUGAGGGGGUCGCGGCCGAUUAGCUAGUUGGCGGGGUAAUGGCCCACCAAGGCGAUGAUCGGUAUCCGGCCUGAGAGGGCGCACGGACACACUGGAACUGAAACACGGUCCAGACUCCUACGGGAGGCAGCAGUGGGGAAUUUUGCGCAAUGGGGGAAACCCUGACGCAGCAACGCCGCGUGGAGGAUGAAGUCCCUUGGGACGUAAACUCCUUUCGAUCGGGACGAUAAUGACGGUACCGGAAGAAGAAGCCCCGGCUAACUUCGUGCCAGCAGCCGCGGUAAUACGAGGGGGGCAAGCGUUGUUCGGAAUUAUUGGGCGUAAAGGGUGCGUAGGUGGUUCGGCAAGUCUUGUGUGAAAUCUUCAGGCUCAACUUGAAGUCUGCACAAGAAACUGCCGGGCUUGAGUAUGGGAGAGGUGAGUGGAAUUUCCGGUGUAGCGGUGAAAUGCGUAGAUAUCGGAAGGAACACCUGUGGCGAAAGCGGCUCACUGGACCAUUACUGACACUGAGGCACGAAAGCUAGGGGAGCAAACAGGAUUAGAUACCCUGGUAGUCCUAGCCCUAAACGAUGAUCGCUUGGUGUGGCGGGUAUCCAACCCUGCCGUGCCGUAGCUAACGCGUUAAGCGAUCCGCCUGGGGAGUACGGCGCAAGGCUGAAACUCAAGGAUUGACGGGCGCCGCACAAGCGUGAGCAUGUG
rnacentral:rRNA from 1 species